rnacentral:rRNA from 1 species
CAGCCGCCGCGGGAACACGAAGGGUGCAAGCGUUAAUCGGAAUUACUGGGCGUAAAGCGUGCGUAGGCGGUGAGUUAAGUCUGCUGUGAAAUCCCCGGGCUCAACCUGGGAAUGGCAGUGGAUACUGGCUCGCUAGAGUGUGUCAGAGGAUGGUGGAAUUCCCGGUGUAGCGGUGAAAUGCGUAGAGAUCGGGAGGAACAUCAGUGGCGAAGGCGGCCAUCUGGGACAACACUGACGCUGAGGCACGAAAGCGUGGGGAGCAAACAGGAUUAGAUACCCCCGUAGUCCCUGUCUCUUAUAA